rnacentral:rRNA from 1 species
GACGAACGCUGGCGGCGUGCUUAACACAUGCAAGUCGAACGGAAAGGCCCUGCUUGCAGGGUACUCGAGUGGCGAACGGGUGAGUAACACGUGGGUGAUCUGCCCUGCACUUCGGGAUAAGCCUGGGAAACUGGGUCUAAUACCGGAUAUGACCUUCCAUGUAGUGUGGGGGGUGGAAAGAUUUAUCGGUGUGGGAUGAGCCCGCGGCCUAUCAGCUUGUUGGUGGGGUAAUGGCCUACCAAGGCGUCGACGGGUAGCCGGCCUGAGAGGGUGGACGGCCACAUUGGGACUGAGAUACGGCCCAGACUCCUACGGGAGGCAGCAGUGGGGAAUAUUGCACAAUGGGCGGAAGCCUGAUGCAGCGACGCCGCGUAGGGGAUGACGGCCUUCGGGUUGUAAACCUCUUUCGACAGGGACGAAGCUUCGGUGACGGUACCUGUAUAAGAAGCACCGGCUAACUACGUG